AUGAAUCUGGUGUGGGUUUGGGGAUUCUGUUCUGACGGUCCACACAAGAUAUUGGUUUUAGAGUAUAUUGAGAAUGGUUCCUUGGAUAAAACUCUGUUUAGUAGGAAGGGCUCACAGGUAUUACUUAAAUGGAAUGAAAGAUUUAAGAUUGCUCUAGGGGUGGCAAAAGGAUUGGCUUAUCUUCAUCAUGAGUGCCUGGAAUGGAUCACCGACUUUGGCCUUGCAAAACUUCUGAAUAGGGGUGGAUUGAUGCGGAGCAUCCUACGAUCAUCUCCAUGUACACUCGAACAUACGCCAUUGGACACAAGAGGUUAUAUAGCUCCUGAGUGGGUUUCUAGCCUCCCAAUAACAGCAAAGGUUGAUGAAGAAGUGGAAAUGUUGAUGAAGAAGUGGAAAUGGUCCUUCGAAGGGUCAUUAGGAUGCUUGCAGAAAAUCUGA
rnacentral:rRNA from 1 species